rnacentral:rRNA from 1 species
GCCCUUAGAGUUUGAUCAUGGCUCAGGGUGAACGUUGGCGGCGUGCCUAAGGUAUGCAAGUCGAACGGUUCUUUUAGUUUUUUAUGCUUAUGUGUAUUAAACUUAAAGAAUAGUGGCAAACGGGUGAGUAACGCGUAGAUAAUCUACCUCGAAGAUGGGGAUAGCUCGCCGAAAGGCGGGGUAAUACCCAAUGGUCUACACUCACAUAUGUGUUGUGUAGUAAAGCUCCGGCGCUUCGAGAGGAGUCUGCGUUCUAUCAGCUUGUUGGUAGGGUAAUGGCCUACCAAGGCUAAGACGGAUAGCUGGCGUGAGAGCGUGACCAGCCACAAUGGGACUGAGACAAGGCCCAUACUCCUACGGGAGGCAGCAAUUAGGAAUCUUGCACAAUGGGGGCAACCCUGAUGCAGCGACGCCGCGUGGAGGAAGAAGGUCUUCGGAUCGUAAACUCCUUUUAUGUGGGAAGAAUAACUGACGGUACCACAUGAAUAAGUACCUGCUAACUACGUGCCAGAAGCAUCGGUGAUGCGUAGGGUACGAACGUUACCCGGACUUAUUGGGCGUAAAGCGAUGCGUAGGCGUUCUUACAAGUCUG